CCUACUCCUCCAACCUAUCCCCUCCCCCUUCUAUUCCCGCUUCCACUAUCUACUCCACCUUCCCAAGUUUAUGGCUCUUGGUAUCCUCCUCACCCAAAUCAUUAGAGGUCUUGCGUUAUUCGUACCAGUAAUAAUCAUAGUUUGUGUUUGUUUAGCUACAGCCUGUCUACACAGUUAUGGUUGUGGCUGAAUGACAGAACUUGUUAAUUUGAGAAUCACAUCACAGUAAUAUCAAACUCAUCUAUAUACAGGGGGUACUGGUACAGAGUCAAUGUGGAGGCUAUAUACAGGGGGUACUGGUACAGAGUCGAUGUGGAGGCUAUAUACAGGGGGUACUGGUACAGAGUCGAUGUGGAGGCUAUAUACAGGAGGUACCGGUACAGAGUUGAUGUGGAGGCUAUAUACAGGGGGUACUGGUACAGAGUCGAUGUGGAGGCUAUAUACAGGGGGUACUGGUACAGAGUCGAUGUGGAGGCUAUAUACAGGAGGUACCGGUACAGAGUUGAUGUGGAGGCUAUAUACAGGGGGUACUGGUACAGAGUCGAUGUGGAGGCUAUAUACAGGGGGUACUGGUACAGAGUCGAUGUGGAGGCUAUAUACAGGAGGUACCGGUACAGAGUUGAUGUGGAGGCUAUGUACAGGGGGUACCGGUACAGAGUCGAUGUGGAGGCUAUAUACAGGGGGUACCGGUACAGAGUCGAUGUGCGGGGGCACCGGUAUUGAGGUAAUAUGUACAUGCAGGUAGUUAUUAAACUGACUGCACAGAUAAUAACAGGGGGGGGGGGGGCAAUGCAAAUAGUCUGGGUAGCCAUUUGACUAGAUGUUCAGGAGUCACUGCUCAUUUACUGUGUGUUUGGACAGUCCAAGUCUGGGGUUCUCCCUACAAUUCUGAUCUGUAGGCAUCUACAUGUAC